GUUUACCAAAAACAUAGGUUUCUGCUAAGUCGCAAGACGAUGUAUAGGAGCUGACGCCUGCCCGGUGCUGGAAGGUUAAGGGGAUCUGUUAGAGCAAUCGAAGCAGUGAACUUAAGCCCCAGUAAACGGCGGCCGUAACUAUAACGGUCCUAAGGUAGCGAAAUUCCUUGUCGGGUAAGUUCCGACCCGCACGAAAGGCGUAACGAUUUGGGCACUGGCUCAACAACAGACUCGGUGAAAUUGUAAUUCCGGUGAAGAUGCCGGAUACCUGCGACAGGACGGAAAGACCCCAUGGAGCUUUACUGUAGCUUGACAUUGGGUCUUGGUACUACAUGUACAGGAUAGGUGGGAGGCUUUGAAACCAGGACGCCAGUUUUGGCGGAGCCAUCCUUGGGAUACCACCCUUGUAGUACUGGGACUCUAACCAUAGGCCAUGAAUCUGGUCUUGGGACACUGUCAGGUGGGCAGUUUGACUGGGGCGGUCGCCUCCCAAAAGGUAACGGAGGCGCUCAAAGGUUCUCUCAGUACGGUCGGAAAUCGUACGUAGAGUGUAAAGGCAAAAGAGAGCUUGAUUGCAAGACAUACAGGUCGAGCAAGGAUGAAAAUCGGACUUAGUGAUCCGGUGGUUCUGCGUGGAAGGGCCAUCGCUCAACGGAUAAAAG
rnacentral:rRNA from 1 species